UACGUAGGGGGCAAGCGUUGUCCGGAAUCAUUGGGCGUAAAGAGCGUGUAGGCGGCCAGAUAAGUCCGCUGUGAAAUCUCGAGGCUCAACUUCGAGCUGUCGGUGGAAACUGUCUGGCUAGAGUCCGGAAGAGGAGAAUGGAAUUCCUGGUGUAGCGGUGAAAUGCGCAGAUAUCAGGAAGAACACCCGUGGCGAAGGCGGUUCUCUGGGACGGUACUGACGCUCAUGCACGAAAGCGUGGGGAGCGAACAGG
rnacentral:rRNA from 1 species